GUAGGGGGCAAGCGUUGUCCGGAAUGAUUGGGCGUAAAGGGCGUGUAGGUGGCGAUUUAAGUCUGGAGUGAAAGUCCUGCUUUUAAGGUGGGAAUUGCUUUGGAUACUGGAUGGCUAGAGUGCAGGAGAGGUUAGUGGAAUUCCCAGUGUAGCGGUGAAAUGCGUAGAGAUUGGGAGGAACACCAGUGGCGAAGGCGACUAACUGGACUGUAACUGACGCUGAGGCGCGAAAGUGUGGGGAGCAAACAGGAUUAGAUACCCUGGUAGUCCACACUGUAAACGAUGAAUGCUAGGUGUAGGGGGUAUCGACCCCUUCUGUGCCGGAGUAAACACAAUAAGCAUUCCGCCUGGGGAGUACGGCCGCAAGGUUG
rnacentral:rRNA from 1 species